GUCAGGAUGGCCGAGCAGUCUAAGGCACUGCGUUCAGGUCGCAGUCUCCCCUGGAGGCGUGGAUUCGAAUCCCACUCCUGACA
rfam:Mus musculus chromosome 3, GRC primary reference assembly.